rnacentral:lncRNA from 1 species
UCUCGCUCUCGUUUUUAUUAGAUUGUGAGGCUGGGGUCUACAUCUCCUGCUUGCGUUCUUAAUCUAUGUGCAUCAGGCUUGUGGUCUCUACUGGUUUCCUUAUUUGUUUAUUUUCUGUGCUUGUGAGGCCGGGGUCUCUCUUGCUUUCAACCUUUUUAUUAGCUUGUGAGGUUGGGACAUUUCUCCUAUUUUGGAUCUUUUAUCUUUUCCCGUGAGGCUGGGGUCUCUUGUCAGCAUACUCAAUGAGCUUGAAGCUAGGGGCUCUCUCGGGGGCGCGCGCUACCUCUAUGAAUUUGUGAGGCCGGGACCUUUUCCCGAGUUUGUUUAUGAAGCGGGGCCCUCAACCUCUUUGAGGACGGGGGCUCCGUUUCGCUUUUUCUUUGUGAGCCUAGGGGUGGGGGGAUGUCUCCUUCUCUUACUCUCGCCUUUGAGCGUGCGCGUGUGCGUGCGUGCGUGCGUGCGUGAGUCUGGGGUCUCUGGCUCGUACCUUCUUUGUAAUCGAGGCCCGGGACUUUCUUGGCUAUGACUUUACUUUCUUUGAGUGUGAGAGCCUGGGGUCUUCUUUGAUUCACUUUUCCUCACUCCUUUGGGGUGUGCGCGGGCUUGUGAAGCUGGUUGGUCCCUUCCACGCACGCUUUCCUUGGCUCUCAGUUCAAGUGAGGCUGGGGGCACCCGUGAAUGUUUGGAUACAGCCGCGGACUGAAAAAACCCUAGCGGGUUUUGCUAGCUGGUCUGGGUUCAACACCCUUUGAAAGUUUAAUCAGAAGUGGCCAUUAGACUCGCGUAACCCAUUGGUUCCUUAUAGAAAAUGUAAAAGACCCCCAGAGAGCGGGAACAGAUACUUUAUAAUCUUUAAAUGAAGGAAUCCUUUAGGAGACCGAGAAAACAAGCCUAAUAUGUGAUCAGUGGUGGGUCCGAAGACUUCCCAAAAUAUAGGGGGGCAAUUUUCAGGAUCCCAAGUGCACUUGGGCAAACUUUCCAGUUGCCUCCCUUCUCCCCCUCAGAGAAAGUGCAAAGAAAUGCAGAUUAGCCCGCAGACCACCGGGACAAUGCCCAAUUGCCUACUGCUGCUGUCCCAACCCAAGCACUGCCCUACCUCCAAAGGAGGAAGAGGAAGAGAAAGAGGAAGAGACACCAAACAAGAAAGAAACAGCACGGAGAUUGAAUAUCUGCAAACAAUGUCACUCACUGCAUCAGAAAAAAGAAAUUCUAAAGGUAAGGGACCCAUAAAUUCAACCUUAAUAGAUUCUUUUUGUCUCAGAACCAUCUUAAUGGAAGUUAGUGAAUGCUGGAUUGGACCUAAUUGUCAAAGUUGCUUAGAAAACAAUCAGUUCUGAGAUAGCGGAAGAACAGUCUGACAAUAUUAACCUGAGCACUGA